GUGAGGAAUUUUCCGCAAUGGGCGAAACCCUGACGGAGCAAUGCCGCGUGAAGGAUGAAGGCCUAUGGGUUGUAAAUUUCUUUUCUCAGAAAAGAAUUAUGACGGUAACUGAGGAAUAAGCAUCGGCUAACUCUGUGCCAGCAGCCGCGGUAAGACAGAGGAUGCAAGCGUUAUCCGGAAUGAGUGGGCGUAAAGCGUCUGUAGGUUGUUUAAAAAGUAUUCUGUCAAAGAUUAGGGCUUAACCCUAGAUAGGCAGAAUAAACUUUUAAGCUAGAGUUUGGUAGAGGCAGAGGGAAUUCCCGGUGGAGCGGUGAAAUGCGUAGAUAUCGGGAGGAACACCAAAGGCGAAGGCACUCUGCUGGGCCAAUACUAACACUGAGAGACGAAAGCGAGGGGAGCAAAUGGGAUUAGGAACCCGAGUAGUCC
rnacentral:rRNA from 1 species